UGAGGAAUCUUGCGCAAUGGGGGAAACCCUGACGCAGCCACGCCGCGUGGAGGAAGACACCCCUAUGGGGCGUAAACUCCUUUUCUGCGGGAAGAACCCCGGGGUAUGCCCCGGCUGACGGUACCGCAGGAACAAGGGCCGGCUAACUCCGUGCCAGCAGCCGCGGUAAUACGGAGGGCCCAAGCGUUGUCCGGAAUUAUUGGGUGUAAAGGGUCCGCAGGCGGGACAGUAAGUCGGAGGUGAAAGCCCUCGGCUCAACCGAGGAAUUGCCUUCGAUACUGCUGUUCUUGAGUCCCGGAGAGGCCACCGGAAUUCGUGGUGUAGCGGUGAAAUGCGUAGAUAUCACGAGGAACACCAGAAGUGAAAACGGGUGGCUGGACGGGUACUGACGCUCAGGGACGAAAGCGUGGGGAGCAAACA
rnacentral:rRNA from 1 species